rnacentral:lncRNA from 1 species
AUGUGCCCUGCACACCAGCCGCUUGCAUGGCUGAAGGGCACCGAGCUGCAGGCACAUGCUGAGGCAACCCACAUGCAGUCAGGGCAUGGAAAGGCACAGCCUGAAGGUCCCCGUUGCUGUUCCCAGAAGGAUGGGCAGGACUUGGUGCAAGCAUCAUCUCUGCUGCUGCUGUCCCCCGCGCCCUGUUGUCCUCCCCCCGGGGCAGCGUGGGCUGGGAGGCUCCUCUGCAGCCUCCUCACGCGAUGCAGCAGCCAGGCGGGUAUUUCUGCUCUGUCUGGACCUCAGAUGUCUGCAGAAAAACUCCUCAAAGCUUGGCUCUGGCUGACUGCAAGAAGUGCUGCACGGCUCUUCCUCACUUGGCUUUGCUUUGCUUUGCCUUUUGUUCCCCCUCUGUUUUUUUUUUUGAUGCAGGGUGGUGGGGGGCAGCAUUUGAAUGCCCAGAAAAUGAAUGCAAGGCAGAUCUCAGCAGCAACUGGUGUACCCUGUGCUCUCCUGCAGUCAGACGAUGCCAGGGCAUGCUGUGAAUCCUGGCCUGUGAAUCAAGUAUUUGUGGGUGGGAGGCUCUGCCCAUGCACCCCUGCAGAGGUGUGAAUAUUUGGAGAGAAAGCCUGUGCCCGAUGGACACCAAAGGCCUAUCUGUGCAGAAGGUGCGUUUGAGAACAAACCCCUUGCUGGAUAGCUUAUGGAAGCUGCUGCUGCUCCUAGAGCCACCAGCAGAAAAAGAGAU